CGGGAGUAACGCGUGGGUAACCUAGCCCUAUACACAUGGAUAACAUACUGAAAAGUUUACUAAUACAUGAUAAUAUAUAUUUACGGCAUCGUAGAUAUAUCAAAGUGUUAGCGGUAUAGGAUGGACCCGCGUCUGAUUAGCUAGUUGGUGAGAUAACUGCCCACCAAGGCGACGAUCAGUAGCCGACCUGAGAGGGUAAUCGGCCACAUUGGAACUGAGACACGGUCCAAACUCCUACGGGAGGCAGCAGCA
rnacentral:rRNA from 1 species